rnacentral:rRNA from 1 species
UGGGGAACUUUGGACAAUGGGCGAAAGCCUGAUCCAGCGACGCCGCGUGAGUGAUGAAGGCCUUCGGGUCGUAAAGCUCUGUCGGAGGGAACGAAACAGGAUGACCUAACACGUCAUUCGAUGACGGUACCCUCAAAGGAAGCACCGGCUAACUCUGUGCCAGCAGCCGCGGUAAUACAGAGGGUGCGAGCGUUGUUCGGAAUCAUUGGGCGUAAAGGGCGUGUAGGUGGCGAAGUGUGUCCGGUGUGAAAACCCCCGGCUCAACUGGGGAAUGGCAUUGGAAACUACUUCGCUGGAGGACGAGAGAGGGUGACGGAAUUCCCAGUGUAGAGGUGAAAUUCGUAGAUAUUGGGAGGAACACCAGAGGCGAAGGCGGUCACCUGGCUCGUUACUGACACUGAGACGCGAAAGCGUGGGGAGCAAACAGG